rnacentral:snRNA from 1 species
UGUACUGCUUCAACAGCAUAUAAUACUAAAACUGGAAUGACAAACAGCGAUUAGCUUGGCCUCUGUGCAAGGAUGGCAUACAAAUUCAUUCCGUACUUUU